AUGUCUGAAGAAGGAAGAAAAAGUGCAGCGUCCGUCUGCUCCAAGAAAUCGCAUCACUCCAAGAGCUCUAAAGGUUCAGUUAAAUCAUCUGCCAGUAUAGCCGCUCUCAAUGCUCGAGCUGAAGCAGCUCGUACAAGAGCAGAAUUUGCAAAAAUGGAAAUUGAAAUGAAAGUUAAGAAAGCGGAGCUUAAAGUAGAAGAGGUGCGCCUGGAUGCCACACUACAAGCACUAAAACAGCAGUGUGAUGCAGAAGCCGCACAAGCUGAGGCGUAUGUCUUUGAGAAAGCGGCCACUGAUCUCGAAGAAGAAUCUGCAUUGGGGUCCGUGAAGGUAGAUUCCACAGAACGUACUCGCGACUAUGUAAAACACCAAAUAAUCCUAAAGGCAGAUUCAAGUCCACUUAGCAACAUAGAGCACAAUGAUACUCUAGCAACAACUGUCCCAUACGAGCCACCAAAACGAGAACCAGGCCAGUCUACGGACACAGAGUACGUCCAUCCACCCCCGGGUGCAGACAAACGUAAAGAUGUUCCCCAGCUUUCCCAAAGCAUUCCUGGGCGGAAACUUUCAUUUGGAGCAUUACCGACACAUCAAAGUACGGGAUACACUCCACAAGUUGGCAAUAUGACUGAUAUAGCCAGGUUCCUAGCACGACGUGAUUUGCUCACUGGCGGCCUCAGAAAGUUCAGUGACAAGCCAGGUGACUAUUGGGGAUGGAAAUCUUCAUUUAACAAUGUUAUUGAUGAUUUGAACCUGUCUGCUAGUGAAGAAUUUGACUUGUUGAUCAAAUGGUUAGGAGCAGAGUCAGUUCAAUAUGCUAAACGUCUGAGAGCAGUGUAUAUUAACAGACCCUCUGAAGGAUUUGGCAAAGUAUGGGAAAGACUGGACAAGUGCUACGGCUCCCCUGAAGCCCUGGAGAAGCCGCUACUUGACAGACUUGAGCGUUUUCCGAGAAUCUCGAACAAAGACCCAUACCUCUUGAGAGAACUUCAGGAUCUUCUCCUAGAGAUAGAGACUGCAAAGGAUGAAGGCUAUAUCCCAGGCCUACUGUACCUCGACACUGCAAGGGGCAUUCAUCCUGUUGUGGAGAAGUUACCCUUUGGUUUGCAAGAAAAGUGGAUGACGUAUGGGUCUAAAUACAAGGAGGAGCAUUCUGUAUCCUUUCCACCAUUCUCAGCAUUUGUAGCCUUCAUUAGCAGGGAAUCAAAAAUGCGCAACGACCCAAGCUUUAAGCAUUCAGUGCAACCCGGUCUUGUACCCACUAAGAUGAGGUUUCAGGACAAGCAGAGUAAGAGAGAAGCAAUCUCAGUCAUCUGGACUGAAGUGGUCAGUACAGAGCCAAACCAACUGCAGGAACAAACAUCCACGACCCAAAUAAAGAAUGCCCAAUCCACAAGAAACCUCACGCGCUUAAAAAUGCAGAGCUUUCAGAGAAAUGCCUUUGGAGGAGCGUAA
ensembl:lncRNA